GACAGAGGGUGCAAACGUUGUUCGGAAUUACUGGGCGUAAAGCGCAUGUAGGCGGCCACGCAGGUCGGAUGUGAAAUCCCUCGGCUCAACCAAGGAAGUGCAUUCGAAACCGCAUGGCUCGAGUCCCGGAGAGGAUGGCGGAAUUCUCGGUGUAGAGGUGAAAUUCGUAGAUAUCGAGAGGAACACCGGCGGCGAAAGCGGCCAUCUGGACGAGGACUGACGCUGAGAUGCGAAAGCGUGGGGAGCAAACAGG
rnacentral:rRNA from 1 species